CUAUUGCUGAGCAGCAUCCAGCUGCCUCCCCGCUGGAAAAGAGGGAUUUCUCCUCGCUGCUGUUUUUCCCUCAGCAGAUUCCAGCUCAGUCCGUCUGGAGCAGCGGCGGGGAUGAGCGCAGGGGGCCCAGGAGGCGACGUAACGAGGCAUUUCACAGCUCCUCCGCUGGAUACGGUGAUGUCACCCAGAUAAGCAAUCCCCGGUGUGGUGCUGUCUGCUGAAUGGGAUAGGCUGUCAUCCCUGAGAAGUCCCAUGUGCGUGCACAGUCCAAAGAAAUGCAGGCUAGAGACGAGCCAAGUGCACACCCACUCAGUUUCCUGCCUCUUGUGUCCCUGGGUUAACUUCACUUCCUGCCUUGUCCUGUCAUCCC
ensembl:lncRNA